UACGAGGGGGGCGAGCGUUGUUCGGAAUUAUUGGGCGUAAAGGGCGCGUAGGCGGUCGGAUAAGUCUGAUGUGAAAUCUCACAGCUUAACUGUGAAACUGCAUCGGAUACUAUCUUGCUCGAGGAAUGGAGGGGAGACUGGAAUACUUGGUGUAGCAGUGAAAUGCGUAGAUAUCAAGUGGAACACCAGUGGCGAAGGCGAGUCUCUAGACAUUUCCUGACACUGAGGCACGAAAGCCAGGGGAGCAAACGGG
rnacentral:rRNA from 1 species